rnacentral:rRNA from 1 species
UUAUCCGGAUUUACUGGGUGUAAAGGGAGCGUAGGUGGCAAGGCAAGCCAGAAGUGAAAACCCGGGGCUCAACCGCGGGAUUGCUUUUGGAACUGUCAUGCUAGAGUGCAGGAGGGGUGAGCGGAAUUCCUAGUGUAGCGGUGAAAUGCGUAGAUAUUAGGAGGAACACCGGAGGCGAAGGCGGCUCACUGGACUGUAACAGACACUGAGGCUCGAAAGCGUGGGGAGCAAACAGGAUUAGAUACCCUGGUAGUCCACGCGGUAAACGAUGAAUACUAGAUGUCGGGUAGCAAAGCUAUUCGGUGUCGUCGCAAACGCAAUAAGUAUUCCACCUGGGGAGUACGUUCGCAAGAAUGAAACUCAA